AAUAACCGCAGUUGUGAGUUUCAGUGCCCAAUUUUAACCAUCCGUCUUAUUUAAAAUAUUUUUAUGAUUAGUAUUUUUAUUAUUAUUAGAUGAUAAAAUAUGAAUAAUACUUUAUGCGUGACUUGACUUUUCAAAUUUUUUCAUAAAAUUUUCAAAUAAGACGGACGGUUAAACGUUGGGCAUGGAAACUUAUGGCUGCACUUAUA
rfam:Oryza glaberrima chromosome 2 Oglab02_0169_5, whole genome shotgun sequence.